rnacentral:lncRNA from 1 species
AGGGUACAGUUUAAUCAGUGCUGUCACGUGACAGGAAGUAGACAGUACAACUCUGGUCUCAGUUCCCUUCAUGGUUUUAUUUAUUUAGUUCAGGACCUUAGCCAAUAGGAUACUGCCCAUGUUCAGGGACAGUCUCCCCUCCUCAGUUAAACUUCUGACAACACCUUGACAGACACCACCCAGAGAUGCUCCUCCUUUAGCGAUUCCCAUCCGGUCAGGGUGACAAUGAAAAUUAAGCAUUACAGAAUGGAACUAUCUCUCCUAGACAUAGAUAACCCCUAAGAAAUGGAAGAGAAAAUGCCUACAAAGACCCCAAAGAUGACCAUGGGAAUCGCCUGGUGGUACUGUUCCAGCAGCAUCACAAGGGGUGUGAUGAUGCCACCGACCCUGGAGAACAUGCUCACCAACCCCAUGCCUGUUUGCCUGGGGAAAGAGCACAAGCUGAGGUUCCACCCACUAAUGGAAGCUACACUCUGUCCACAGCUGUGAGGGCCCAGGUCUCAGCCACCUUUGGUCUAGACAGGGUAGAGCUUACAGGACCAGCCAGCCCCCUCUGUCUUCCCCCUGUC